CACUUGUUAAUAAGACGUUUCUUACUAAAAGUGUCUGAUCAUAUGAACUCCAUGGUGAUUUCAGUGCAUUGCUGAGAUAAGCU
rfam:Egretta garzetta contig96222, whole genome shotgun sequence.